rnacentral:lncRNA from 1 species
CACAUACCCUGUAUCGCAUACCCCGUAUCGCAUGGCUAAACCCGUAUCGCAUAUCCCGUAUCGCAUGGCAAAACCCGUAUCGCAUACCUGGCGUGACGUCAUAGUGUGAAUGACGUCAACUUUUGACCUAUGACGUCCAGUUGCUGUAUUUCCUGGCAUGAAAAGGAAAAAAAUAGUUCAAACUAACAAAAAUUUUAAAAUAAAAUCGAUAUUUAAAAAAAAAUUAGUAACCAGUAACUUUACGAGCGAUUUUAAUCUAUAUAAAAGACACAAUAAAACGGAAAUAUCUGAAGUUCUAUUGUUUAUUUGGUCUUAUUUUUUGUGAAGUCUGUUUGCAUUACCUAAUGGGUAAAACACAAAUGGAAAUUUUUACGAUUUUAAUUUGAUUAGAAUAGAUAGCAAACUUUUCAAUAAAUAUUUUUCUUGGUGUUCACCUCGUCAGAAGUUAAAAUGAACCAGAUCAUGAAUAAUAUCAUCGCCAAAUAAACUAGAAAACUUUAAACAUUUCUACAUCUUACAAUAUUUAUUUUUUAGACAUUAUUUUUUGUUGAAAUAAUAGAACAGUAUCGUUUGUGGGUGCAUUUUAAUACAUUGUCUUAAACGUAUAUUGAGAAUAAAAUUAGGUUAUAGGGGAUAUUACGAUGUGGAUAUUAAGCAAAUAAGGAAGUCUAUAAAAAAAAAAGGUCAGCUGGGAAAAUAGAGCACAAUCAUAAUGUUCUUUUCUUGCUUAUAAUUUCGGAC